rnacentral:lncRNA from 1 species
UUCCUUGCAGUGAAGACACCUUCCUUGAUCUCACUUCCCGCUUAAGUGUGUGAAGGAGGACUAAUGAAGCGGAUCUUGGAUCCAAAACCUCCUCAUUUUGAAACUCGCUGCUGAGUCAACCUGAAGACAAGUCUUUGCUUGAUGAUCCAACUGAAUGGAUACACACCUGUUCAAGGAAAACUGCAGGAACCCUGAAGCAGCAAUUGAGCUGAUUGAGCAAGAAGAUACAAAAUUUGUGAAGCAGACAAAUGAGAUGCCAUAUGAGCUCUGUAUUACUGUAUAACAGUUGGCCCAUGAUUAGAGCUCCAACUUUUGUACUCACAGUCAGAAUUCUGUGCGGCUCUUUUUAUUGCUAUCAAGAAAAGCAUUGAGAAUAUAUUUUAAAUUGUCAACUUUCUUAUUCUUCAUUCUUUUCUAGCUCAUUGGCCAGAUUGCAAAUGCAGCAUCCAAAAUAAAAAUCAUGAUUGCAUGAUUAUAUGGAAACCCACUUAUAAACAUGGCUAUAUAUCUGACAUAUAGAACUGAUGAUUUCAUGGAAGUCAUUUCUAAAUACAGCUUUCCAUUCUUAUAAACAUGGCUAUACAUGCAGUCAUGUCUUCCUAUUAUGCUAAUGAAUAUGGAUACUAAUAGGAUAGCAAAGAAAACAAGAUUUCAGGGUCAACAUGCUUUGCAGCAUCUGUGUUCUCCCACCAGACUUUAAGAAAGGAAAAAAAAAAACCAUAUGCAAGCAGUGGACAAAGGCAUUGGCUGAACAAAGCUAAAAUACGCAUCAUGAUCUCACAUUCAGGAGGAGAUGAAUGAUCAUCCACUGAAUCGACAAACAUCUUCCAAGCCGCUUAGCUUAGGAGAAAGAUAUAAUUUAUGAAGCAGACAAAUGGUGUUAUUGUAUGAGCUCUACUAGUGGUCUAGAGAGAAGACUCCCAAAUGUGAACUGGAAGAAAGUUUUAAAGUGGGAAACAUAACUUGAAAAGAUUCAAGAAAAUACUAAAUUGGCAAGUUCAAGUUAUUGAAAAGGCUAUCUUGUUCAUGUGUGAAACAGAUUCUGGAGUUCACAGUAACCUAAAGAGUAGGUUAAGUUUAGAGUUAUAGAGCUAAGUUGGCCGCAGUGUCAGAAACAAAUCAAGCAUCACAAACCAAUGACAUUCCUGAUGGCUAAUAAGGAACAAAUACAUCAGAGAUAUUAAGGUUCAUUUCUUAAAACUGCUGGUGUUCACAGUUUAGUCGUAUCAACUUUGAAUCUUUGAUACAUCCCGAAUGAUGGAAGACCAACACUUAGUUAUUCAACCGAUAAAUCCAAGAACUCAAAACUUCAGUUGCUUAGCCAUAAACAAACAAUGGAUGAAGGAAUUAAAAAAAGAAGAGAAAAUAACUAAAACUGUCUCAGGCAUUUCAUCAUACAGUUGGUGAGCAACAAUAUCAGAAUACAUACGAGCCACUGAUGGUUCAGAAUCACAAAACGUAAACAGAAAAGAACAAAAGCAAAAACCCAGAACUGACGCACUACCUGGAAUCAAACAAGGAGGGAAGGAGGGAAAAAAUCCCCAAAAACCUUCGGACCAUUUCUCGUUUUAUGCGUGCCAUACUCGCGCAGGGCUACGUUAAUCUUAACGAUAUCAUUCCAAUUUUAUCGGAUGUCCCCGAAGAGACAAACUGUACUGCCAUGUUUUCAUAUAUGAACAGCUUUCUGUUUUCGCUUUCUUCGAUGUGGGAGUCUGGGAACCAAUUUUACCAAAGCAUGUGCACCUCACGUGUCUUCUAUCGAAGUAGUAGUAAAAGGUUUAAAACUGCAGACUUCAACCGCUUUUUAUUUUUUUGAGACUUAAACUGCUAUUGACCGAAAAUUAUACAACGCACCCGUCCAUUUCCGCCGUCCAUUUUGAAAAAGUCAAAAGUCCGCGUCAAAUGGACGGCGGAGAUGGACGGGUGCGCUGAAUACGCUCUCUGCUAUUGACACCUAAGUAAGUUAAACUUACUGUUUAUACGUACUUGAAGAUCAAGUUUUUUUUUCGAUUGAUACUUGAAGAUCAUGUUGCAACGUUGUAUUUCCGGGUCUUCGGUUUUAGUGAAGGUAUAUAUUUAUGAAACAAAAUUGGGCUUCAAGUGAGGCAGUGAAACAGGAUUUACACAAAUGUUCCCUCUCAUCAUAGCUUAGGUUAUCCUUCAACAUACAUAGUUUGUUAGAUAUAUAAUACAACUUGUGGUAGCUAGUCUUCUUCUUGUCUGCUACAAAUCUAAAGGAGGUAGGGAACAUACAGUUUGGUAUCACUUGCAUGUGGAAUCAAAGUGGGGCUGAAGUUACCCAUGUGAUCUCUCACAAGCUAGUGCAUCAAACUGGAGCCCAACUCAGUUCUUCUUCACCAAUCAUUUCAUGUAGCUAGCAGAUGAGUUUCCACAUACCAUAUCACCUAUAUAUACACACAUGACCAACUCCAUCAGCAACUCAAGUCCUCUCCUUGCAAGCUAUCAAACCAAUCUCUCUCUCUUUUUUCCCAAGUGAUCCUUUGAAUUCAUUCUUUGCUUCUUUGAUCAUUUCAGUAUAUAGAAACCAUGGGUUUUCGAUUGCCUCGAAUUGCAAACACAAAGUCAUCAGAUAUCCCAAAAGGUCACUUUGUGGUCUAUGUUGGAGAGAGCCGCAAGAAACGAUUUGUGGUUCCAUUAUCAUAUUUGAACCAACCUUUGUUUCAGAAUUUGCUGAGUCAAGCUGAAGAAGAAUUCGGAUACCAUCAUCCAAUGGGAGGUAUCACAAUUCCUUGCAGUGAAGACACUUUCCUUGGUGUUACUUCUCGCUGUAGUGUGUGAGUCAAGAACACUAAGGAAGUGGGGUUGGAUAUACAACAUCCUCAUUUGGAAACUCGCAGCUGAGUCAAGAUGAAGAAGAGGCUAACUCAUCAUGUACUCGAUCAAUUCGCCUCUUGCACUGAGGGAAAACCAAAUGUGAUGGAUUCCAAGCUGAUUCUGAACUGAUAAGAAAAAGGAAGCAUCAAAUCACAUCUCAUGAAGCAGGCAAAUGACAUUGCAUGAACUCUCCAAGACAAUGAUUUUCUUGUCCAAGUUCUUGCCACCAAAUAUUGAACCCUAUGUAACAUUUUCUUGUCCUCCAGAAAGAUUAUGGGAAUGAUUUUCAAAUUAUAUUCCAAUUAUCUAUAGUAAUUUGUUAUAUCAUACUUUUUCUUGUAUAUCUGCUACAACUCUACAACAC